CAUCCCAGGAGCAGGGUGAGGGAGGGGACCAGAGGCGCUCAGCCUUCCAGAGUACAACUCGGUGAGCACCCACUGUGUGCCAGGCACUGUUCUAGGCCCUGGGAAGAGAGCAGUGACCAACAUGGGUCACAAAAGCUGAGCUGGAGUUAAGAAGAAGGAGGAUAUAACACAAAGGAGGUGGAAAUCCCUGUCCCGCCUUUCUGACCCCAAGAGGUCAUGGAGAAAAAUGGCACCAGACAGAGACUGAAAACGUCACGGACCUAGGUCGUUGCUCUUCCAUUCCCUGCUGGCCGCUGGCAGAGUAGUACACGGAGCCCUGGGUAGGAAAUGACGGUUGACCUCAGCUCUUCAUGCCAUGAUGUCUGGAGCUGCAGCAGCCAUCUUGCUACCGUGAGGUGACAGGCAUGAAGAUGAAAAGACAACACUCACAGGUGGCAGAGUAAGAAGACAGAAUCUGGGUCCUUUGCAACCCUGUUGAAAAACUAAGCCAGCCUUCAGACUGUCAACCUCUAGACCCUUUCUUGAGGUCUGAAAGCUGUGGCUGAUGUGGAUAAAAACAGGAAGAAAACAGGAAGGAAUGACGCUUCUCUCCACCUCCUGCCUUCCAUUUCCCCUCCGCCAAUAGAACAUGGACAGAGCUGAGCAGCUGCCCCAGGCCAUCUGCCAGCUGCGGGCACAUGGGACCCCAGGUGAGACCAGCCGAGGAACCAGCCCACCCACAGCGUUGUGAGAACUAACCCUUGGGGUGUCUAUGCAGCAGUCCCCAACUGAAGCAAUACACAGGGUGAGAACAGUCAACAAGGGUGGGGCCCUCAGCCUCGGGACUUGACGGGGUUGAGGCAGGCGGGAGGAAUUCUGGGGAGGAGGAAGCCUCUGAGCGUCUGUUCUGACCUCUCCUCAAGGAGUCUCGACAAGAUGACAAGACCACAGCUGGCAGUGGGUUUCUUUGGGUUGGAAACUCAUACUUAACCGUAUUCUCUCCUUCGCUCUCACUUCCCUCCCUCGGCCAUGUGGCUCCAUGCAACACAUACGCCGGCCCCUCCUUCCCACAGUGCUCUUUGCCGGGUCCUCUUCUAGCCAUUGGCAUCCUCUGGGAACCGGUUAGGAACGUCAAGUUCUCAGACUCCGUCUCACUCCUGACUGAAUCAGAAACCCGGGGGUGGGGCUCAGCACUCUGGGGUUCAGUGACUGUCCUGGCGAUUUUGAGGACACGCUAAAGUUUGAGAACCACUCACUGGUCUAGCCAGUGAGCAAACAGAUGAGCGACAGGUCCUUGCCAGCCCCCUUCUCGGCUUGGUUUGCCAAAUCAGGGUGUGGUGUCGGAGGGGACGCGGAUGUGUGGAGGGGACGGUCUGAAUGCACGAGGAUCUUUGCCCAACGAGAGAGAGAGAGAGAGAGAGAGAGGGAGGGAGAGAGGGGGGAAGGGGAGACCACCAGGCCCUCACCUAACAGAUGAGAAACUGAACUUCAGCAGACUGGAUAAUUUCCCCAGACGCCAGCAGCUAGAAUGUGCUAGGACCUCACCUCGGCCCCACGUCUGUCCGUCCCAGGAUCUGCUCUGCCAACCAGUCAGCUCCACUGCCAGCCUCGUCAUUAUUUGCAAACCCGUUUCCCACUUUUCUUCAGGAAGCAGCAGAGAGAGACCUACCCAGGGCAGGCCCGUGGGCUCUGCGGGCGGAGAGCCAGUCAGGGGGGCGGGCUCGGUGCUGGGCUCCCAUGACCUGCUCCCGUGUCUCUUUCUGUCCCUGAGUCCUUUGCUCUCAGGGCUCAGGGUGAAGCGCGGGGAAGGCGUGGGGGGAUAAACAGCACCCGGCAAUGCAUCUCCCCGAGUUUAUUUACUAAAACAACAUUUUUUAUUACCAGGACAAGUUCGCAGCGAGAAUAUGACAGCCUACAUUUUAUGUGGCCAUUGAUCUUUAAUCCGAGCCCGCCUCGAGGUUUCCUAUAAAAUCAGGGCUUCCUGGCCCCAAAUGUGAUUCCGGCACCGGAAUGAAUGACGGCCCGGGCUGCUCUUUUCUCAUCUGAAAAGGCUGAAAUUGCUUUGUGUAAAUGGGUGGAAAAUGCUGAUAUUUGGAUUCUAUAAAUAGCUCGCCUCCGGAGCGAGCAGCGCGGGGUUUCAUCUGCGCGGUCUCCUUGGAGGGUUUGGGGCCUUAUCACUUUUAUCCAGGGUGCUGCAUACAAAUGAACCCCGCCGCAGCGCCCGGCCAGCAGUGAG